rnacentral:rRNA from 1 species
GAGGUUCGAAGGCGAUCAGAUACCGCCCUAGUUCUAACCAUAAACGAUGCCAGCCAGCGAUCCGGCUGUGUUCCUCAAAUGACACGCCGGGCAGCUUCCGGGAAACCAAAGCUUUUGGGUUCCGGGGGAAGUAUGGUUGCAAAGCUGAAACUUAAAGGAAUUGACGGAGGGGCACCACCAGGUAUGGAGCUUGCGGUUCAAUUUGACUCAACGCAGCAAAGCCUACCAGGCCAGGACACAGGAAGGAUUGACAGAUUGAGAGCUCUUUCUUGAUUCUGUGGGUUGUGGUGCAUGGCCGUUCCUGGUUCGUGGAGCGAUUUGUCCUGUUUAUUCUGAUAACCGACGAGAUUCUAGCCUACUAAAUAGACGCUUCAUCCUUCGAGUCGAGCGUUCUUCUUAAAGGGACAGGCGGUGUUUAGCCGCACGAGGCAGAGCAAUAACAGGUCUGUAAUGCCCUUAGAUGUCCUGGGCCACACGCGUGCUACAUUGAAGGAAUCAACGUGUGCUUUCCCUGUCCGAUGGGACUGGGUAACCCGUUGAACCUCNUUCGUGCUGGGGAUAGAAAAUUGUAAUUAUCUUUCUUGAACGAGGAAUCCUUAGUAAGCGCGAGUCAUCAUCUCGGGUUGAUUAGGUCCCUGCCCCUUGUCCACACCGCCCGUCGCUAUUACCGAUUGAAUGAUUUAGUGAGGUCUUCGGACUGGCGCUCGGAUUGGCCUUCGGGUCGAGCCGGCGUGCCGGAAAGAUGACCGAACUUGACCAUUUAGAGGAAAUA